ensembl:snoRNA
ACCCUUUGGUGGUGUGUAAAUGUGACACUCGUGUGUUCAGCUCACAUGUAAGACGUGCCUCCCUCAAAUCUUGUUACAAUGUUGGCACACAGAAUAAAAUGAAG